AUGUAAAGAGGUGCUAAACGAGAGGCUUUUAAUUUCUUUUAAGCUGCUGCCUGUUGAGGAAAAAAUCAAAGAAUUUAUGAAUUAAUGCACACAACACUGCAAUAAAUGGUUAACAUGUAAAGAUUUAUUGAAACAGUUUAAUAUUAAUGCCAAAAUUGUUUAUUUACAGCAUGUAUAACCACUCAAAGCCGAAAGUUCCAUACACAUCCCCCAAAUUACAUUUUAAUUGUUGUAAUCGAAGAUCUUUAAGACAUCACACACUUAAAGCUUUUUAGGUUGCAUAUUUGAUAAAAGCAGAAAGAACCCAUUUCAAGUGUUUCACUCCAGGUUACAUGGUUUAAUUCUUUUUACAGAAGGACCGCAACAUGAAGCCAGGAUUUUUUGGGAAGAACAUUCAAGUCCAGCUCUUCCCAUUUCUUUUACUGGUUUGCCAUUCCAGUUUGUUGGCAGAGAAGUAAGAGAGUGUUUUAAAGGGUCUGACCGUCACAGAUCUGACAAACAGAAGGCAAAGAAACAACAAUCUGAGUCAGAACACUGCUAUACAGACAGGCAUAGAGGGUUUGUUAGCACUGAAAAGCAGGAUUGCGACGCAGCCAUUGUAAUGAGAGCUGUCCUAACAUUUCCUGAUUACAAGAUAACAUCCAAUUCUGAGUACCAAAAGAGAAAGAAAAGGAUAUUGCUAAAUGCUGCCUUGAAGUUGUCAGAACUUGUGAAUUGGGUGUUUCGGGUAUAUGUGUAUGUGCCUGACGAGUCCAGCCACAACCAUGUGAUUGGUGAAUUGGGAUCAGCAAACCAGCGGCUUGAUCAGGCAAUCAUAGACCAAAUUCAUAUGCUACAUGUAGUAUCUGAUUUAGCCAGGAGGACGGAUGAGGUGGAACGUGCUGUUAAUAGCUUUGUCCAGCGACAAUUCCCCACAGCCAGUCGACUGAACCCCAGAUACUAUCCAAGUUGAAAGAUAAUUCGUAAUCACAUGUAUAGUGCUAUGUGCAUGCAACAAUUUUCUUCCAAUGACUUGACCAAUUUGGGGGGAAAUGUUGAGCAGUGGAAGAAGGAUAUGCCUGAAGACCGCUUUUUUAUGCAUCUGGUUGGUAGACGCUUGCCUCCACAUCGCCACAAUUGAAUCUAGCAAUGUUUACCAUGUGGACUGUAUCAAUGCAACACUUAUCUUCACUGGAGAUUUUGAAAGGAUUGGAUACCUUGCAUCAGUCAAUUUCGAUGGGCUUGAUACGGUUGUCGGAGCUGUUAACGAAAAUGGCAAUCACUGGAUCUUAGUG